CUUCUGUGCUUUGCUGCACCAUGCAGCACAGGGGUAUAAACCCAAACCUCCUCACCAUAACCUCUCCUCACCAUGAAAUAGGCCUCAGUGCACUGAAGACAAACCUCGCAGCUUCAGACUUCCAGAGACUACCAUAAACAC